GAUGAACGCUGGCGGCGUGCCUAAUACAUGCAAGUCGAGCGAACAGACGAGGAGCUUGCUCCUCUGACGUUAGCGGCGGACGGGUGAGUAACACGUGGAUAACCUACCUAUAAGACUGGGAUAACUUCGGGAAACCGGAGCUAAUACCGGAUAAUAUAUUGAACCGCAUGGUUCAAUAGUGAAAGACGGUUUUGCUGUCACUUAUAGAUGGAUCCGCGCCGCAUUAGCUAGUUGGUAAGGUAACGGCUUACCAAGGCAACGAUGCGUAGCCGACCUGAGAGGGUGAUCGGCCACACUGGAACUGAGACACGGUCCAGACUCCUACGGGAGGCAGCAGUAGGGAAUCUGCCGCAAUGGGCGAAAGCCUGACGGAGCAACGCCGCGUGAGUGAUGAAGGUCUUCGGAUCGUAAAACGCUGUUAUUAGGGAAGAACAAAUGUGUAAGUAACUAUGCACGUCUUGACGGUACCUAAGCAGAAAGCCACGGCUAACUACGU
rnacentral:rRNA from 1 species